GUAGGGUGCGAGCGUUAAUCGGAAUUACUGGGCGUAAAGUGUGCGCAGGUGGCUGAGCAAGUCGAGUGUGAAAUCCCCGGGCUUAACUUGGGAAUUGCGCUCGAAACUACUUGGCUCGAGUGUGGCAGAGGAAGGUGGAAUUCCAGGUGUAGCGGUGAAAUGCGUAGAGAUCUGGAGGAACACCGAUGGCGAAGGCAGCCUUCUGGGCCAACACUGACGCUCAUGCACGAAAGCGUGGGGAGCAAACAGGAUUAGAUACCCUGGUAGUCCACGCCCUAAACGAUGAUGACUAGUUGUUGGGGGAGUUAAAUCCCUUAGUAACGCAGCUAACGCGUGAAGUCAUCCGCCUGGGGAGUACGGUCGCAAGAUUAAA
rnacentral:rRNA from 1 species